rnacentral:rRNA from 1 species
UACAGAGGAUGCAAGCGUUAUCCGGAAUGAUUGGGCGUAAAGCGUCUGUAGGUGGCUUUUUAAGUCCGCCGUCAAAUCCCAGGGCUCAACUCUGGACAGGCGGUGGAAACUACCAAGCUGGAGUACGGUAGGGGCAGAGGGAAUUUCCGGUGGAGCGGUGAAAUGCGUAGAGAUCGGAAGGAACGCCGGUGGCGAAAGCGGCGUGCUGGCCCUCUUCUGACGCUGAGGCGCGAAAGCCAGGGGAGCGAACGGG